GUUCUCACCGAUUCCCCUAAGAUCACAGAAGUUAAGCAACAUCGAGCCUCGUCAGUACAUAGAUGGGUGGCUGCUUUGGAAUACCAGGUGCUGUAAG